GACGUAGGGUGCGAGCGUUAAUCGGAAUUACUGGGCGUAAAGCGUGCGCAGGCGGUUCGUUGUGUCGGCGGUGAAAGCCCCGGGCUUAACCUGGGAAUGGCCGUUGAAACUGGCGAACUGGAGUGUGGCAGAGGGGGGUGGAAUUCCGCGUGUAGCAGUGAAAUGCGUAGAGAUGCGGAGGAACACCGAUGGCGAAGGCAGCCCCCUGGGCUAACACUGACGCUCAGGCACGAAAGCGUGGGGAGCAAACAGG
rnacentral:rRNA from 1 species